CAGGGAGAACUCCAAUGGCGUCUGCCAGUGUCUGUGUCAGCACACCCACACCAGGCCACAACAAUGGCCACUGCCAAUGUCGCAGUCCCUGGAGAGGUCUCACCUCUCACCAAGAUGCACCCAGAACCUAUCAGAAAAGAGAAUCUUGAUGGCAUAUUUAAAAGGAAGCCCCAACGUUAACUGCAACCCCACAGAUGUGGGAGUACUUUAACCUAUGUGAUGUCACGUGGGAAGGAUCUCUGAAGCAUCUGAAGAGCCGGCUUGAAUGAUCUGCACCUUAGCGCCAAUAACAAUGAUGCGGCUUUGACAGCUGCAUCUUGGCCAGAGGACACAGAAGGUCUCCAGCCCAAAUACACUAUCAUCAGCACCAGAUUCCAAGCAGAGAAGGCCAAUAAAUAUUAUGGUCCCAAAGUCAAACUGCAAGUUUCCUCUUUAGGAACUGAUAAAACCAUGCAGCGAGACUAUCAGAGCGUCAUCACAUCAGGAGGCAUAGAGAUGACAUGUUCAGCAAUAUCAAAUGUAAAAUCUCAAAGUCCAUUUUAGUCUAAAUGUGCUCCAGAGUUAAACCAAAGAAAUCCUCCUGCCAAGUUGCUCUCUGAGUCAGAAAAGAAUAAAAUGCAAGUCACUCUCAGUUAAAUUUUCAUAAAUGUGAAAAUGGUCUCUUCUUUUUAUUCUUUAGUGGGAUCACUCCCAAGACUGUUUGGAGCCAUUUUUAUACCCACUUUGAUUAGAUUACAUUUCUCUGAACUUCGCUGCAUGACUGUUAAAGGGGAAUGAUAAAAGAUACAAUGUGAAUCUGUGAAUAAAAGUGCUUCUUCAAAAGUGGCUUUUCUGUUAUGCAAGAGGCAAUCAAUGACAUACCAGGAUCUUCUCUGCUGCAAUACUUGAUAAUUUUUUUCGAUUGGGAUGUUUCACAAACUUUUGCUCUCCACAUCAACCCAUGAUAGGCUCUAGUUCAAGUUUAUUAACUGGCAAUAUUUAUUUCUAGGAGUAAUUACCACAAGAUCAGAAAAGUGCACUGUGAAUUAUUUACAUUCUUUGCUAUUUUAAUAUUUAACAUAGAAUUUGAAGACUUUUAAUGAUUAUAUGUUCUUAUUGUUGGCUUAUGUCCUGCAUGUCAAAAAUUGACUUUUAC